GAUGAACGCUGGCGGCGUGCCUAAUACAUGCAAGUCGAGCGAACGGACGAGAAGCUUGCUUCUCUGAUGUUAGCGGCGGACGGGUGAGUAACACGUGGAUAACCUACCUAUAAGACUGGGAUAACUUCGGGAAACCGGAGCUAAUACCGGAUAAUAUUAUGAACCGCAUGGUUCAAAAGUGAAAGACGGUCUUGCUGUCACUUAUAGAUGGAUCCGCGCUGCAUUAGCUAGUAGGUAAGGUAACGGCUUACCAAGGCAACGAUGCAUAGCCGACCGGAGAGGGUGAUCGGCCACACUGGAACGGAGACACGGUCCAGACUCCUACGGGACGCAGCAGUAGGGAAUCUUCCGCAAUGGGCGAAAGCCUGACGGAGCAACGCCGCGUGAGUGAUGAAGGUCUUCGGAUCGUAAAACUCUGUUAUUAGGUAAGAACAUAUGUGUAAGUAACUGUGCACAUCUUGACGGUACCUAAUCAGAAAGCCACGGCUAACUACGUG
rnacentral:rRNA from 1 species